UCCUUCAACCCCGAUAAUGAGCCCUUUUUGUACCCCAGAAUUGAACCCAGCAUCUGGAGAUGGUGCUUACCUACAGUGGCCAAGUCCUACAAUGAUGUAUGCACAUUCAUAUGACCAAUUUAGACAUGUUGUUUACCAGGCUCCAUUUGGUCAACCUUUGAGCUUUGAUUAUUCACAGAACUAUUAGAUGAUAUGUAGGGAGGAAGGUUUGUAUUUGGAUUCGGAAGUUAUGUUGUUAGCCUUAUAGGAGAUCUCAUAUUAGGUUCAUUUUUCAGUACUCCUUUAUAUAGACCCUUGUUUGUUUUCUGUUAUUGUAGUAUGUAUGACUUUGAUUUUCAGUUUUGAUGGUUACAGUACUUCUUAUGUUACAGUUUAUAAAAUAGUGAACUCUAGUGGAUUUAUGCAUUUGUUAUAACAUAUUUGAUAA